rnacentral:rRNA from 1 species
GAUGAACGCUGGCGGCGUGCCUAAUACAUGCAAGUCGAGCGAACGGACGAGAAGCUUGCUUCUCUGAUGUUAGCGGCGAACGGGUGAGUAACACGUGGAUAACCUGCCUAUAAGACUGGGAUAACUUCGGGAAACCGUAGCUAAUACCGGAUAAUAAUUUGAACCGCAUGGUUCAAAAGUGAAAGACGGUCUUGCUGUCACUUAUGGAUGGAUCCGCGCUGCAUUAGCUAGUUGGUAAGGUAACGGCUUACCAAGGCAACGAUGCAUAGCCGACCUGAGAGGGUGAUCGGCCACACUGGAACUGAGACACGGUCCAGACUCCUACGGGAGGCAGCAGUAGGGAAUCUUCCGCAAUGGGCGAAAGCCUGACGGAGCAACGCCGCGUGAGUGAUGAAGGUCUUCGGAUCGUAAAACUCUGUUAUUAGGGAAGAACAUAUGUGUAAGUAACUGUGCCCAUCUUGACGGUACCUAAUCAGAAAGCCACGGCUAACUACGUG